rnacentral:tRNA from 1 species
UUUUUAUAGUUUAAUAAAAAACAUUGGUCUUGUAAACCAAAAAUAAUGUAAAAUUUAAAAACUU